UCAAGUUAUUAAGGGUGCAGGGCGGAUGCCUUGGCACUAGGAGCCGAUGAAGGACGUGAUAAGCUGCGAUAAGCUUCGGGGAGUUGCACGUAAACUUUGAUCCGAAGAUUUCCGAAUGAGGAAACUCACUUAGAGUAAUGUCUAAGUAUCAUUAAGUGAAUACAUAGCUUAAUGAGGGGAACUCAGGGAACUGAAACAUCUAAGUACCUGAAGGAAGAGAAAGAAAUUCGAUUCCGUAAGUAGCGGCGAGCGAACGCGGAUUAGCCCAAACCAAUAAAGUUUUCUUUAUUGGGGUUGCGGACAUAUCAUAACGAAGAGGUAUCGUAAUUGAAGAGGUUUGGAAAGACCCACCACAGAAGGUAAUAGUCCUGUAUGUUAAACGAGAAGACUUUAGAUAUGAUCCAGAGUACCACGGGACACGUGAAACCCUGUGGGAAGCAGGAGGGACCACCCUCCAAGGCUAAAUACUACCUAGUGACCGAUAGCGUAUAGUACCGUGAGGGAAAGGUGAAAAGAACCCCGGGAGGGGAGUGAAAUAGAACCUGAAACCCUGCACUUACAAGCUGUGGAAGCACAUUUCUUGUGUGACCGCGUACUUUUUGUAGAACGGGCCAACGAGUUACGUUAAGUAGCAAGGUUAAGCACUUAAGGUGCGGAGCCGUAGCGAAAGCGAGUUUUAACUGAGCGUUCAGUUACUUGACGUAGACCCGAAACCGGGCGACCUACCCAUGAGCAGGAUGAAGCGAAAGUAAAAUUUCGUGGAGGUCCGAACCCACGAGCGUUGAAAAGCUCGGGGAUGACUUGUGGGUAGCGGUGAAAUUCCAAUCGAGCCCGGAGAUAGCUGGUUCUCCCCGAAAUAGCUUUAGGGCUAGCCUCAAGGUGAGAGAUACGGAGGUAGAGCACUGAAUGUCCUAGGGGGUAUUGCACCUACCGAAGACUAUCAAACUCCGAAUGCCGUCAUCUUAUACUUGGGAGUCAGACUGUGGGUGAUAAGAUUCAUAGUCGAAAGGGCAACAGCCCAGAUCGUCAGCUAAGGUCCCUAAAUGUAAGUUAAGUGGUAAAGGAUGUGGGAUUGCACAGACAACCAGGAUGUUGGCUUAGAAGCAGCCACUCAUUCAAAGAGUGCGUAAUAGCUCACUGGUCGAGUGAUCCUGCGCCGAAGAUUUCCGGGGCUAAAACUUACUACCGAAGCUACGGCAUCAGUAAUGAUGGGUAGGGGAGCUUCCCAUACGGGUUGAAGCAUGACCGUAAGGACAUGUGGACAGUAUGGGAGUGAGAAUGUUGGCAUGAGUAGCGAGAUGUGGGUGAGAAUCCCACAGGCCGUAAACCCAAGGUUUCCAGGGGAAGGUUCGUCCGCCCUGGGUUAGUCGGGACCUAAGCUGAGGCCGAAAGGCGUAGGUGAUGGACAACAGGUUGAUAUUCCUGUACUACCGAUAACCGUUUGAGAGAAGGGAUGACACAGUAGGAUAAGCUAAGCACACUGUUGGUUAUGUGUGCCCAAGCAUUGAGGCAGUCAAAGUAGGCAAAUCCGCUUUGAUAAUGCUGGGAUGUGAUGGGGAGCGAAAUUUAGUAGCGAAGUAGCUGAUUUCACACUGUCAAGAAAAGUCUCUAUCGAGGUUAAAGGUACCCGUACCGCAAACCGACACAGGUGGGUGAGGAGAGUAUCCUAAGGCCAGCGAGAGAACUGUUGUUAAGGAACUCGGCAAAAUGACCCCGUAACUUAGGGAUAAGGGGUGCCACCAUCAGGUGGCCGCAGAGAAUAGGCCCAAGCGACUGUUUACCAAAAACAUAGGUUUCUGCUAAGUCGCAAGACGAUGUAUAGGAGCUGACGCCUGCCCGGUGCUGGAAGGUUAAGGGGAUCUGUUAGAGCAAUCGAAGCAGUGAACUUAAGCCCCAGUAAACGGCGGCCGUAACUAUAACGGUCCUAAGGUAGCGAAAUUCCUUGUCGGGUAAGUUCCGACCCGCACGAAAGGCGUAACGAUUUGGGCACUGUCUCAACAACAGACUCGGUGAAAUUGUAAUUCCGGUGAAGAUGCCGGAUACCUGCGACAGGACGGAAAGACCCCAUGGAGCUUUACUGUAGCUUGACAUUGGGUCUUGGUACUACAUGUACAGGAUAGGUGGGAGGCUUUGAAACCAGGACGCCAGUUUUGGCGGAGCCAUCCUUGGGAUACCACCCUUGUAGUACUGGGACUCUAACCAUAGGCCAUGAAUCUGGUCUUGGGACACUGUCAGGUGGGCAGUUUGACUGGGGCGGUCGCCUCCCAAAAGGUAACGGAGGCGCUCAAAGGUUCUCUCAGUACGGUCGGAAAUCGUACGUAGAGUGUAAAGGCAAAAGAGAGCUUGAUUGCAAGACAUACAGGUCGAGCAAGGAUGAAAAUCGGACUUAGUGAUCCGGUGGUUCUGCGUGGAAGGGCCAUCGCUCAACGGAUAAAAGCUACCCUGGGGAUAACAGGCUUAUCUCCCCCAAGAGUCCACAUCGACGGGGAGGUUUGGCACCUCGAUGUCGGCUCAUCACAUCCUGGGGCUGUAGUAGGUCCCAAGGGUUGGGCUGUUCGCCCAUUAAAGUGGUACGCGAGCUGGGUUCAGAAC
rnacentral:rRNA from 1 species